rnacentral:rRNA from 1 species
UACGUAGGGUGCAAGCGUUGUCCGGAAUUAUUGGGCGUAAAGAGCUCGUAGGUGGCCUGUCGCGUCGGCUGUGAAAACUCGGGGCUCAACUCCGGGCUUGCAUUCGAUACGGGCAGGCUAGAGUUCGGUAGGGGAGUCUGGAAUUCCUGGUGUAGCGGUGAAAUGCGCAGAUAUCAGGAGGAACACCGGUGGCGAAGGCGGGACUCUGGGCCGAUACUGACGCUGAGGAGCGAAAGCGUGGGGAGCGAACAGG